rnacentral:rRNA from 1 species
ACUGCCCUAUGGGUUGUAAACUUCUUUUAUAUGGGAAUAAAGUGCAGUAUGUAUACUGCUUUGCAUGUACCUUAUGAAUAAGGAUCGGCUAACUCCGUGCCAGCAGCCGCGGUAAUACGGAGGAUCCGAGCGUUAUCCGGAUUUAUUGGGUUUAAAGGGAGCGUAGGCGGGUUGUUAAGUCAGUUGUGAAAGUUUGCGGCUCAACCGUAAAAUUGCAGUUGAUACUGGCAUCCUUGAGUACAGUAGAGGUAGGCGGAAUUCGUGGUGUAGCGGUGAAAUGCUUAGAUAUCACGAAGAACUCCGAUUGCGAAGGCAGCCUGCUGGACUGUAACUGACGCUGAUGCUCGAAAGUGUGGGUAUCAAACAGGAUUAGAUACCCUGGUAGUCCACACAGUAAACGAUGAAUACUCGCUGUUUGCGAUAUACAGUAAGCGGC